AGCAGCCGCGGUAAUUCCAGCUCCAAUAGCGUAUAUUAAAGUUGUUGCAGUUAAAAAGCUCGUAGUUGAAUUUCGGGAUCAAUACGUCGGUCGUGCCUUCGGUACGUACUGGCGUCAUUGGUUUCUCCCUUCUGACGAACCAUGAUGUCAUUAAUUUGGUGUUAUGGGAAGUUAGGACUGUUACUUUAGAAAAAUUAGAGUGUUUAAAGCAGGCAUUAGCUUGAAUACAUUAGCAUGGAAUAAUGAAAUAGGACGUUCGAACCUAUUUUGUUGGUUUCUAGGAUCAACGUAAUGAUUAAUAGGGAUAGUUGGGGGCAUUAGUAUUCAAUUGUCAGAGGUGAAAUUCUUGGAUUUAUUGAAGACUAACUACUGCGAAAGCAUUUGCCAAGGAUGUUUCAUUAAUCAAGAACGAAAGUUAGGGGAUCGAAGACGAUCAGAUACCGUCGUAGUCUUAACCAUAAACCUAUGCCGACUAGGGAUCGGAUGAUGUUUAAUUUUUAAUGUACUCAUUCGGCGCCUU
rnacentral:rRNA from 1 species